GAGUUGGUGGAUGACGUAGCUCUCACGUGACCAAGAGCUGACGUGUGCAGAAGUCCUUCUUGUUCUGGUCGUUGUUCCCGUCUGAGUACCAGCUCCCCAUUGCCCUGAGGGCGAGCGAGCCUGAGGCAGAGGGAAGAAGGAGGAGGAGAAGGAAACUGUCCCGGAUCCCUGCAGUGGGUCCGAUCCUCUCCCAGUUGCCAGUGUUUCCAUAGUUUGCGACACUACGCCAGUCAAGUGAAGAGGAAGGAAAUUAACCCUGAUCAGUGAAGGUCGAUUUGAGGGUCUGCUGUAGCAGGUGGCACCACUUGAAGCAAGGGAGGAAGUUUCCUGGGACCAGUAGAGGUAGGUGUGGGCGUGGGGGCUGCCUGGAAUGGGGGAGGGGUUGGAAAUCCACUGCGAUUGGACAGGUUCACCCAAUCCUACCUUAUUUCCCUAACAGGGAAGGGGCAGGCCUGUGCAUAUUUUGGAUGGCAUAAAGAGGUUAUUAAGAAAAAAAUCUA
rnacentral:lncRNA from 1 species